rnacentral:rRNA from 1 species
GACGAAGGAUGCAAGCGUUAUCCGGAUUCAUUGGGUUUAAAGGGUGCGUAGGCGGCCCUGUAAGUCAGUGGUGAAAUCUCUCAGCUUAACUGAGAAACUGCCAUUGAUACUGCAGGGCUUGAGUACAGAUGAUGUUGGCGGAAUAUGACAUGUAGCGGUGAAAUGCAUAGAUAUGUCAUAGAACACCGAUUGCGAAGGCAGCUGACAAAACUGUAACUGACGCUGAUGCACGAAAGCGUGGGGAGCAAACAGG